rnacentral:rRNA from 2 species
UCUAAGUAUAAGCAAUUAUACAGCGAAACUGCGAAUGGCUCAUUAUAUAAGUUAUCGUUUAUUUGAUAGUACCUUACUACUUGGAUAACCGUGGUAAUUCUAGAGCUAAUACAUGCUAAAAAUCCCGACUUCGGAAGGGAUGUAUUUAUUAGAUUAAAAACCAAUGCCCUCUGGGCUCUCUGGUGAUUCAUAAUAACUUCUCGAAUCGCAUGGCCUUGCGCCGGCGAUGGUUCAUUCAAAUUUCUUCCCUAUCAACUUUCGAUGUUUGGGUAGUGGCCAAACAUGGUUGCAACGGGUAACGGAGGGUUAGGGCUCGACCCCGGAGAAGGAGCCUGAGAAACGGCUACUACAUCCAAGGAAGGCAGCAGGCGCGCAAAUUACCCAAUCCCGAUUCGGGGAGGUAGUGACAAUAAAUACUGAUACAGGGCUCUUUUGGGUCUUGUAAUUGGAAUGAGUACAAUUUAAAUCCCUUAACGAGGAACAAUUGGAGGGCAAGUCUGGUGCCAGCAGCCGCGGUAAUUCCAGCUCCAAUAGCGUAUAUUAAAGUUGUUGUGGUUAAAAAGCUCGUAGUUGAACCUUGGGCCUGGCUGGCCGGUCCGCCUCACCGCGUGUACUGGUCCGGCCGGGCCUUUCCCUCUGUGGAACCCCAUGCCCUUCACUGGGCGUGGCGGGGAAACAGGACUUUUACUUUGAAAAAAUUAGAGUGCUCCAGGCAGGCCUAUGCUCGAAUACAUUAGCAUGGAAUAAUGAAAUAGGACGUGCGGUUCUAUUUUGUUGGUUUCUAGGACCGCCGUAAUGAUUAAUAGGGACAGUCGGGGGCAUCAGUAUUCAAUUGUCAGAGGUGAAAUUCUUGGAUUUAUUGAAGACUAACUACUGCGAAAGCAUUUGCCAAGGAUGUUUUCAUUAAUCAGGAACGAAAGUUAGGGGAUCGAAGACGAUCAGAUACCGUCGUAGUCUUAACCAUAAACUAUGCCGACUAGGGAUCGGACGAUGUUAUUUUUUGACUCGUUCGGCACCUUACGAGAAAUCAAAGUGCUUGGGCU